UACGAAGGGUGCAAGCGUUACUCGGAAUUACGGGGCGUAAAGCGUGCGUAGGUGGUUCGUUAAGUCUGAGGUGAAAGCCCUGGGCUCAACCUGGGAAUGGCAUUGGAAACUGGCGACCUAGAGUGCGGUAGAGGGUAGUGGAAUUCCCGGUGUAGCAGUGAAAUGCGUAGAGAUCGGGAGGAACAUCCGUGGCGAAGGCGACUACCUGGACCAGUACUGACACUGAGGCACGAAAGCGUGGGGAGCAAACAGG
rnacentral:rRNA from 1 species